rnacentral:rRNA from 1 species
CAAGGGAUUUUCCGCAAUGGGCGCAAGCCUGACGGAGCGACGCCGCGUGGGGGAUGACCUCCUUCGGGACGUAAACCCCUUUUCGGGGGGAAGAGCGCGGACGGUACCCCCGGAAGAAGCCCCGGCUAACUCUGUGCCAGCAGCCGCGGUAAUACAGAGGUGGCAAGCGUUGUUCGGAAUCACUGGGCGUAAAGGGAGCGUAGGCGGCGUGGUAAGUCAGAUGUGAAAUCCCGGGGCUCAACCCCGGAA